rnacentral:rRNA from 1 species
GAUGAACGCUGGCGGCGUGCCUAAUACAUGCAAGUCGAGCGAACAGACGAGGAGCUUGCUCCUCUGACGUUAGCGGCGGACGGGUGAGUAACACGUGUAUAACCUACCUAUAAGACUGGGAUAACUUCGGGAAACCGGCGCUAAUACCGGAUAAUAUAUUGAACCGCAUGGUUCAAUAGUGAAAGACGGUUUUGCUGUCACUUAUAGAUGGAUCCGCGCCGCAUUAGCUAGUUGGUAAGGUAACGGCUUACCAAGGCGGCGAUGCGUAGCCGAGCUGAGAGGGUGAUAGGCCACACUGGAACUGGACCACCGACCAGACUCCUACGGGAGGCACCAGUAGGGAAUCUUACGCAAUAGGCGAAAGCCUGACAGAGCAACGCCGCGCGAGUGAUAAAGGUCUUCGGAUCGUAAUGAUCUGUUAUUAGGGAUAAACAAAUGUGUAAGUAACUAUGCACGUCUUGACGGUACCUAAUCAGAAAGCCACGGCUAACUACGUG